ACCUAUUCCAGAGGCUAGUUUUUAUUUUUUUUUUUUUUUCAAGCAGAAGACGGCAUACGAGAUCAGCCUCGGUCUCGUGGGCUCGGAGAUGUGUAUAAGAGACAGGAGAUAGCUGGUUCUCCCCGAAAUAGCUUUAGGGCUAGCCUCAAGGUGAGAGAUACGGAGGUAGAGCACUGAAUGUCCUAGGGGGUAUUGCACCUACCGAAGACUAUCAAACUCCGAAUGCCGUCAUCUUAUACUUGGGAGUCAGACUGUGGGUGAUAAGAUUCAUAGUCGAAAGGGCAACAGCCCAGAUCGUCAGCUAAGGUCCCUAAAUGUAAGUUAAGUGGUAAAGGAUGUGGGAUUGCACAGACAACCAGGAUGUUGGCUUAGAAGCAGCCACUCAUUCAAAGAGUGCGUAAUAGCUCACUGGUCGAGUGAUCCUGCGCCGAAGAUUUCCGGGGCUAAAACUUACUACCGAAGCUACGGCAUCAGUAAUGAUGGGUAGGGGAGCUUCCCAUACGGGUUGAAGCAUGACCGUAAGGACAUGUGGACAGUAUGGGAGUGAGAAUGUUGGCAUGAGUAGCGAGAUGUGGGUGAGAAUCCCACAGGCCGUAAACCCAAGGUUUCCAGGGGAAGGUUCGUCCGCCCUGGGUUAGUCGGGACCUAAGCUGAGGCCGAAAGGCGUAGGUGAUGGACAACAGGUUGAUAUUCCUGUACUACCGAUAACCGUUUGAGAGAAGGGAUGACACAGUAGGAUAAGCUAAGCACACUGUUGGUUAUGUGUGCCCAAGCAUUGAGGCAGUCAAAGUAGGCAAAUCCGCUUUGAUAAUGCUGGGAUGUGAUGGGGAGCGAAAUUUAGUAGCGAAGUAGCUGAUUUCACACUGUCAAGAAAAGUCUCUAUCGAGGUUAAAGGUACCCGUACCGCAAACCGACACAGGUGGGUGAGGAGAGUAUCCUAAGGCCAGCGAGAGAACUGUUGUUAAGGAACUCGGCAAAAUGACCCCGUAACUUAGGGAUAAGGGGUGCCACCAUCAGGUGGCCGCAGAGAAUAGGCCCAAGCGACUGUUUACCAAAAACAUAGGUUUCUGCUAAGUCGCAAGACGAUGUAUAGGAGCUGACGCCUGCCCGGUGCUGGAAGGUUAAGGGGAUCUGUUAGAGCAAUCGAAGCAGUGAACUUAAGCCCCAGUAAACGGCGGCCGUAACUAUAACGGUCCUAAGGUAGCGAAAUUCCUUGUCGGGUAAGUUCCGACCCGCACGAAAGGCGUAACGAUUUGGGCACUGUCUCAACAACAGACUCGGUGAAAUUGUAAUUCCGGUGAAGAUGCCGGAUACCUGCGACAGGACGGAAAGACCCCAUGGAGCUUUACUGUAGCUUGACAUUGGGUCUUGGUACUACAUGUACAGGAUAGGUGGGAGGCUUUGAAACCAGGACGCCAGUUUUGGCGGAGCCAUCCUUGGGAUACCACCCUUGUAGUACUGGGACUCUAACCAUAGGCCAUGAAUCUGGUCUUGGGACACUGUCAGGUGGGCAGUUUGACUGGGGCGGUCGCCUCCCAAAAGGUAACGGAGGCGCUCAAAGGUUCUCUCAGUACGGUCGGAAAUCGUACGUAGAGUGUAAAGGCAAAAGAGAGCUUGAUUGCAAGACAUACAGGUCGAGCAAGGAUGAAAAUCGGACUUAGUGAUCCGGUGGUUCUGCGUGGAAGGGCCAUCGCUCAACGGAUAAAAGCUACCCUGGGGAUAACAGGCUUAUCUCCCCCAAGAGUCCACAUCGACGGGGAGGUUUGGCACCUCGAUGUCGGCUCAUCACAUCCUGGGGCUGUAGUAGGUCCCAAGGGUUGGGCUGUUCGCCCAUUAAAGUGGUACGCGAGCUGGGUUCAGAACGUCGUGAGACAGUUCGGUCCCUAUCCGUCGCAGGCGUAGGAAAUUUGAGAAGACCUGUCCUUAGUACGAGAGGACCGGGAUGGACGUACCUCUGGUGUACCAGUUG
rnacentral:rRNA from 1 species